rnacentral:rRNA from 1 species
UACGGAAGGUCCUGGUGUUAUCCGGAUUUAUUGGGUUUAAGGGGAGCGUAGGCCGUCAGGCAAGCGUGUUGUGAAAUGUCGUGGCUCAACCAUGGACUUGCAGCGCGAACUGCCCGACUUGAGUGCGCAGAAAGCAGGCGGAAUUUGUGGUGUAGCGGUGAAAUGCUUAGAUAUCACGAAGAACCCCGAUUGCGAAGGCAGCCUGCUGUAGCGCUACUGACGCUGAAGCUCGAAAGUGCGGGUAUCGAACAGG